rnacentral:rRNA from 1 species
GAUGAACGCUGGCGGCGUGCUUAACACAUGCAAGUCGAACGAUGAAGCCCAGCUUGCUGGGUGGAUUAGUGGCGAACGGGUGAGUAACACGUGAGUAACCUGCCCUUAACUCUGGGAUAAGCCUGGGAAACUGGGUCUAAUACCGGAUAGGAGCGCCUACCGCAUGGUGGGUGUUGGAAAGAUUUAUCGGUUUUGGAUGGACUCGCGGCCUAUCAGCUUGUUGGUGAGGUAAUGGCUCACCAAGGCGACGACGGGUAGCCGGCCUGAGAGGGUGACCGGCCACACUGGGACUGAGACACGGCCCAGACUCCUACGGGAGGCAGCAGUGGGGAAUAUUGCACAAUGGGCGAAAGCCUGAUGCAGCGACGCCGCGUGAGGGAUGACGGCCUUCGGGUUGUAAACCUCUUCCAGUAGGGAAGAAGCGAAAGUGACGGUACCUGCAGAAGAAGCACCGGCUAACUACGUG